rnacentral:rRNA from 1 species
UACGUAGGGUGCAAGCGUUGUCCGGAAUUAUUGGGCGUAAAGAGCUCGUAGGCGGCUUGUCACGUCGGCUGUGAAAACCCGGGGCUCAACCCCGGGCCUGCAGUCGAUACGGGCAAGCUAGAGUUCGGCAGGGGAGACUGGAAUUCCUGGUGUAGCGGUGAAAUGCGCAGAUAUCAGGAGGAACACCGGUGGCGAAGGCGGGUCUCUGGGCCGAUACUGACGCUGAGGAGCGAAAGCGUGGGGAGCGAACAGG